rnacentral:rRNA from 1 species
GACGAACGCUGGCGGCGUGCUUAACACAUGCAAGUCGAACGAAGUGGCGAACGGGUGAGUAACGCGUAGGUAACUGCCUGGUAGCGGGGGAUAACUAUUGGAAACGAUAGCUAAUACCGCAUACUACCAGAUGGACCUGCGUUGUAUUAGCUAGUUGGUGGGGUAACGGCUAACCAAGUCACCGAUACAUAGCCGACCUGAGAGGGUGAUCGGACAAACUGGGACUGGGGAACGGCCCAGAAUCCUACGGGAGGCAGCAGUAGGGAAUAUUCGGAAAUGGACGGAAGUCUGACCGAGCAACGCCGCGGGAGUGAAGAAGGUUUUCGGGUCGUAAAGCUCUGUUGUAAGGGAAGCGGUAUCUUACCAGAAAGGGACGGCUAACUACGUGCCAGCAGCCGCGGUAAUAC